rnacentral:rRNA from 1 species
GCAGUAGCCGCGGGAAUACGGAGGGAGCUAGCGUUGUUCGGAAUUACUGGGCGUAAGGCGCACGUAGGCGGUUAUUCAAGUCAGAGGUGAAAGCCCGGGGCUCAACCCCGGAACUGCCUUUGAAACUAGAUGACUAGAACCUUGGAGAGGUCAGUGGAAUUCCGAGUGUAGAGGUGAAAUUCGUAGAUAUUCGGAAGAACACCAGUGGCGAAGGCGACUGACUGGACAAGUAUUGACGCUGAGGUGCGAAAGCGUGGGGAGCAAACAGGAUUAGAUACCCCUGUAGUCCCUGUCUCUUAUAC